rnacentral:rRNA from 1 species
AGGGGAAACGGCAUUGAGUGCUUGCACUCUCUUGGACGUCGACCGGCGCACGGGUGAGUAACGCGUAUCCAACCUUCCCAUUACUGUGGGAUAACCUGCCGAAAGGAGAAACUAAUACCGCAUAGUCUUCGAUGACGGCAUCAGAUUUGAAGUAAAGAUUUAUCGGUAAUGGAUGGGGAUGCGUCUGAUUAGCUUGUUGGCGGGGUAACGGCCCACCAAGGCGACGAUCAGUAGGGGUUCUGAGAGGAAGGUCCCCCACAUUGGAACUGAGACACGGUCCAAACUCCUACGGGAGGCAGCAGUUAGGAAUAUUGGUCAAUGGACGGAAGUCUGAACCAGCCAAGUAGCGUGCAGGAUGACGGCCCUAUGGGUUGUAAACUGCUUUUGUAUGGGGAUAAAGUUAGGGACGUGUCCCUAUUUGCAGGUACCAUACGAAUAAGGACCGGCUAAUUCCGUGCCAGCAGCCGCGGUAAUACGGAAGGUCCAGGCGUUAUCCGGAUUUAUUGGGUUUAAAGGGAGCGUAGGCUGGAGAUUAAGUGUGUUGUGAAAUGUAGACGCUCAACGUCUGAAUUGCAGCGCAUACUGGUUUCCUUGAGUACGCACAACGUUGGCGGAAUUCGUCGUGUAGCGGUGAAAUGCUUAGAUAUGACGAAGAACUCCGAUUGCGAAGGCAGCUGACGGGAGCGCAACUGACGCUUAAGCUCGAAGGUGCGGGUAUCAAACAGGAUUAGAUACCCUGGUAGUCCGCACAGUAAACGAUGGAUGCCCGCUGUUGGUACCUGGUAUCAGCGACUAAGCGAAAGCAU